rnacentral:tRNA from 1 species
CAAAAUGUAGCUUAACUAAAGCACCUGACUUACACUCAGGAGAUUUCACACUUCGUGACCAUUUUGA